rnacentral:sRNA from 1 species
GUAACUCAUCCCCGGUCGAAAGACUGAGGCAUUGACCGCGAGGCUCGUGCCUGAGUUACCCGAAGGCCCCAAUCGGGCAGCCGAUUUGAAGUUGCACACCUACGAAUGCCUCGCCAGUUUGUCGCUCUGUGGUGCAAGACGAACAAAGUUGUUGGGAAGCAGCCUCCGUUUUGUGACGAACCGACACUUCAAUUCCCUUCCAGGCGAACGUUACCCGCGCAAGCGG